UACGAAGGGGGCUAGCGUUGCUCGGAAUCACUGGGCGUAAAGCGCACGUAGGCGGCUUUUUAAGUCAGGGGUGAAAUCCUGGAGCUCAACUCCAGAACUGCCUUUGAUACUGGGAAGCUUGAGUCCGGGAGAGGUGAGUGGAACUCCGAGUGUAGAGGUGAAAUUCGUAGAUAUUCGGAAGAACACCAGUGGCGAAGGCGGCGCUCUGGGCCGGUACUGACGCUGAGGAGCGAAAGCGUGGGGAGCAAACAGG
rnacentral:rRNA from 1 species